CAGUAGCCACGGUAAUACGUAGGGUGCGAGCGUUAAUCGGAAUUACUGGGCGUAAAGCGUGCGCAGGCGGUUCGUUAAGACAGAUGUGAAAUCCCCGGGCUUAACCUGGGAACUGCAUUUGUGACUGGCGAGCUAGAGUAUGGCAGAGGGGGGUAGAAUUCCACGUGUAGCAGUGAAAUGCGUAGAGAUGUGGAGGAAUACCGAUGGCGAAGGCAGCCCCCUGGGCCAAUACUGACGCUCAUGCACGAAAGCGUGGGGAGCAAACAGGAUUAGAUACCCCUGUAGUCCCUGUCUCUUAUAA
rnacentral:rRNA from 1 species